ensembl:lncRNA
AUUUGUGAUUGGGAGGGAGGGAGAGAGAGAGAAAGUGAUUGGGAGGGAGGGAGAGAGAGAGAAAGUGUGAUUCGGAGGAAGAGGGAGAAGAGAGAGAGAGAGAGAGAGAGAGAGAGAGAGAGAGAGAGAGAGAAAGUGUGAUUUGGAGGGAGAGAGAGAGAGACAGAGAGAGAGACAGAGAGAGAGAGAAAGUGAUUUGGAGGAAGAGAGAGAGAGAGGGAGAAAGUGAGAAGCAUACUCAGCAAGAGUGAGGAAUCAGAAACAGGUUGUUGUUCCAGCAGAACACUGCUUUGUCCCUGCUUCAAAAGAGCGAGUGGAACAUCCAGGACUGGAGCUAGUGAGAGCAUAGUUUUACAAAUAUCAUCUGGUCUCUGUCUCAGCUAGGAAGGGAGGCACAGACAGAGAAAGAAGAAGAAGAGAGAGAGAGAGUAGCCUGGCCCCUUAGAGAUAGACACAACAGUAAUUAAUCAUCAACACACACACACACACACACACACACUCACACACAGGAGUAUGAUGGCACUGCAGUAAGCAGCUUGAUAGAGUAGAAUCUAGAAUAGAAAUUUGAAUGAAAUUGAAUAGAAUAGAAUAUGAUAUUUUUUAAUGUAUUUUACAAAGCCCUCUUUACAUCAGCAGUUGUCUGUUACCCAACCUAGAAUGUAAACCAAUGUCAUGUAGAUUAGACUGCUCUCCCCUAUACACUGUCCCCUGUUAUGUUGUGUUGUCCUCCCACUACAUGGCCACAGGGGAGUCUCAGACCCAGUCUCAGUCUCAGUCUCAGCUGCUAGUACUGAACAGCAACAGGAUGUGGAAGGUGGGUGGCUGCUGUCGCUACAACAAGGACCGGGUAGGAGGUAGGAGACAGAGUAGAAAGAAAGGGAUACAACAGGGACCUGGUAGGAGGUAGGAGACAGAGUAGAAAGAGAGGGAUACAACAGGGACCAGGUAGGAGGUAGGAGACAUUAAAAAAAAUGUGAGAAAAGAGGAAAAGAAGAGAGAGACUGGAAGAGAGGAGGGGAGUAUGAAGAGAAUGGAAGAGAGGAGGGGAGUAAUGAAGAGACUGGAAGAGAGGAGGGGAGUAUGAAGAGAAUGGAAGAGAGGAGGGGAGUAAUGAAGAGAAUGGAAGAGAGGAGGAGAGUAUGAAGAGACUGGAAGAGAGGAGGAGAGUAUGAAGAGAAUGGAAGAGAGGAGGGGAUAAUGAAGAGAAUGGAAGAGAGGAGGGGAGUAUGAAGAGACUGGAAGAGAGGAGGGGAGUAUGAAGAGACUGGAAGAGAGGAGGAGAAGGAGAGAGAGGAAGAGAGGAGGGGAGUAUGAAGAGGCUGGAAGAGAGGAGGGGAGUAUGAAGAGAAUGGAAGAGAGGAGGGGAGUAUGAAGAGAAUGGAAGAGAGGAGGGGAGUAUGAAGAGACUGGAAGAGAGGAGGGGAGUAUGAAGAGAAUGGAAGAGAGGAGGGGAGUAAUGAAGAGACUGGAAGAGAGGAGGGGAGUAUGAAGAGAAUGGAAGAGAGGAGGGGAGUAUGAAGAGACUGGAAGAGAGGAGGGGAGUAUGAAGAGAAUGGAAGAGAGGAGGGGAGUAAUGAAGAGAAUGGAAGAGAGGAGGGGAGUAAUGAAGAGAAUGGAAGAGAGGAGGGAAGAUAUGAAGAGACUGGAAGAGAGGAGGAGAGUAUGAAGAGACUGGAAGAGAGGAGGGCAGAGUAUGAAGAGACUGGAAGAGAGGAGGGGAGUAUGAAGAGGCUGGAAGAGAGGAGGGGAGUAUGAAGAGACUGGAAGAGAGGAGGGGAGUAUGAGGAGGCUGGAAGAGAGGAGGGGAGUAUGAAGAGGCUGGAAGAGAGGAGGGGAGUAUGAAGAGGCUGGAAGAGAGGAGGGGAGUAUGAAGAGGCUGGAAGAGAGGAGGGGAGUAUGAAGAGACUGGAAGAGAGGAGGGGAGUAUGAAGAGACUGGAAGAGAGGAGGAGAAGGAGAGAGAGGAAGAGAGGAGGAGAGUAUGGAGAGACUGGAAGAGAGGAGGGGAGUAUGAAGAGACUGGAAGAGAGGAGGGGAGUAUGAAGAGGCUGGAAGAGAGGAGGGGAGUAUGAAGAGGGAGACUGGAAGAGAGGAGGGGAGUAUGAAGAGGGAGACUGGAAGAGAGGAGGAGAAGGAGAGCGAGGAAGAGAGGAGGAGAAGGAGAGAGAGGAAGAGAGCAGGAGAAGGAGAGAGAGGAAGAGAGGAGAAGGAGAGAGAGGUGGAAGAGAGGAGAAGGAGAGAGAGGUAGAGAGGAGGAGAAGGAGAGAGGAGGGGAGUAUGAAGAGACUGGAAGAAAGGAGGAGAAGGAGAGAGAUGAAGAGAGGAGGAGAAGGAGAGAGAGGAAGAGAGGAGGAGAAGGAGAGAGAGGAAGAGAGGAGAAGGAAAGAGAGGAAGAGAGGAGGAGAAGGAGAGAGAGGAAGAGAGGAGGAGAAGGAGAGAGAGGAAGAGAGGAGGAGAAGGAGAGAGGAAGAGAGGAGGGGAAUAUGAAGAUACUGGAAGAGAGGAGAAGGAAAGAGAGGAAGAGAGGAGGAGAAGGAGAGAGAGGAAGAGAGGAGGGGAGUAUGGAGAGACUGGAAGAGAGGAGGAGAAAGAGAGAGAGGAAGAGAGGAGGAGAAGGAGAGAGGAAGAGAGGAGGGGAAUAUGAAGAUACUGGAAGAGAGGAGAAGGAAAGAGA